GUACAUUAUAAGGGUUGAAAAACUCCAAAACCAGUGUGGCCUCUUUGUCUUGUUGCCUCGGCAGGCCGCCCCAGGGCGGGGCGCACUAAGGCCUGCCGAAAGCACCCCAAAACUCUUCUAUAACACGUCCUCUGAAGCAACUAUACAAUAAGUUUAAAACUUUCAACAACGGAUCUCUUGGUUCUGGCAUCGAUGAAGAACGCAGCGAAAUGCGAUAAGUAAUGUGAAUUGCAGAAUUCAGCGAAUCAUCGAAUCUUUGAACGCACAUUGCGCCCGUUAGUAUUCUGACGGGCAUGCCUGUUCGAGCGUCAUUUCAACCCUCAGGCCCGGCCUGGCGUUGGGGAUCUGCGGCACACCCCGCAGUCCCUGAAAUACAGUGGCGGCUCCCCCACACUCCGAGCGCAGUAAUGCUCUCGCUCAGGGCGUGUGGGUGGCCUGUCUGCCUUGUAAAAAAAAUUAUUUAACUGGUUGACCUCGGAUCAGGUAGGAAUACCCGCUGAACUUAA
rnacentral:rRNA from 1 species